GCGCUGUCUUCAACAGCACAUACAUGAUAACUGGAACCAUACAGAGAUUAGCAUGGUCCAGAAGUAAGGAUGACACACAAAUUUAUGAGGUCUUCUAUAUUUUG
ensembl:snRNA U6 U6 spliceosomal RNA